rfam:Corynebacterium argentoratense DSM 44202, complete genome.
GUCGGUGGUUGAUGGCGGUGAGGAUACGCCCGGUCCCUUUCCGAACCCGGAAGCUAAGCUCACCUGCGCCGAUGGUACUGCACACGGGAGUGUGUGGGAGAGUAGGUCGCCGCCGGCC